GCAUCAAUUUUUUCAGUGACGAUGUUGUUGACCACCUUAGAAAAAUUUUGAAAAGUCGUCAAAAGCAGACGACAUUGGACAGCUUCUUUAGCAAAGGAAAAAAAUAAAAUGCUGGUGAAUCCCUAUCAUCUUCAAAUGCUAUUCACAGAGACAGAAAACAGAAAAAACACUGGACAUGCAGUUACCCGAUGUUUUUAUGGAAGGUGACACCCUCUCCAAACAAUAACAUCUCUCCACCUCCCUCUUAGGCCAUCAGCACUCCUCAGUAAAGAGCACGCACAACCAUGGUUCAGGAUGGGAUAGUAACUGGACUUUUUGUUGACUACGGUGAUUGUUUUGUUACAUCACAAGACAGAGUACAGGAACUUCCUAAUUUCUUCCGGGAAUUGCCUUACCAAGCCAUCAAAGCAAAAUUACAUGGUAUAGUUCCUGUCAAUGUGGACUGGAGCAUUGAAGAUUCCCGUCGUUUCCAGGAUUUAGUUGAACUGCGGGAGUUUGUGUCUUUGGUCAUGGAGGUUGAAGAAGACAGUGAGUCUUGUGUUGUACUCUCCUUACAACUCAUCAAUACUACAGAUGAGAAACUGGAUAUUUACAUUGACCAAAUUCUUUUAGAUGAAGGCCGAGCUGUGAAAAAAGCAAAAUGUUGAAAAUAUUGACUUUUUAGCUCCUUGUAUGGUGCAUGCUUAAAUUUUUGCAGGCCGUUUUCUAUGCAGUGGUCUAUGUAAUAAAAGGAAUGGUGCUUGCAAGUUUGUUUAUGCUAUCAUUAUUAUGUGAUACUCUUAAGAACUGACGUGAUUAAUCUGAGAGCUUUAUUCUGUAACUUAGGAUAGUGAAAUAAGGAAUCCAGUAUAUUUUUAUAUCUUAUUUACUACAUACAUAUAUUGUAUGUCUGCUUUAUGGCAUCAGAUACUGAUAUUCCAGGUGCCCUAUAAUGACUAAUGUAAUCUAUAAUUGUCUAUCAUUACUUUUGAAGGCAGUGCUAUUAGCUAAAUAUAUUAGAGAUACAGCACAGUUUAUGUUGAAAAAAGCACAAGCAAUAUAAUACAGUCCCUUAUUGACAAAGUCCACUGAGUGAGUGAAAUGUUAAGUCACAAACAGAUUUGUCUGUGACUUGAUAAAACCUGCUGUCUGGGCAAAACAUUGUGAGUAAAGGAAUGCAUUAUUCUGCUUAGGUGUCCUUUUCCAUCUUUUUAUUUCAUACUGUUAAAUUAAGAGUGAUGCUCUUAAUGAAUUACAUUAUAUUGCGUACUAUGUGAAUCUCCAGUGUGUAUCUCUGUUUUGGAAAGAUUUAUAGCCAUUUUCUGUUAUUUCUCUCUUCUUUUUUUUUAACCAGUGUUUUCUGUCAAGUACAUAAAAAACACAUUUCAAGAGAAUAUAUGAUGAUUUGUUGAAUAGCUUUAAUGUCAGAUUUUUCCUGUAGGAAAGAUAAUUUAUCUAAUGUGUUUGUUUAUCUAUUAUGAGAAACCAUGGUUCAACUCUCUUUAGAGCUGUAUUCUAUGAAAUGUAUGUUAAAUUGGUCAUUGGUACUGCAUUCACCCAAGACUAGCUCCUUAACUAGGAGUUUCCAAUUCAGUCUUUGGGAAAAUAUCUUUUGCCAGUGCUCUGAGUGGUCUGUGUAGACAAGUUGCCAUGUAAAUUGCUUAGGCUUGAAUGGUUCUCUGGUAUGUAGCCAGAUUAAAGCCUUCAAAAAGCUAUAUUAGCAAGGAAGAUAAAAAUACAUAAAAAUAGCAAAAUCUCUUCAAAAAACUGCAAUAAAAAAAAAGGAAUGACUGAUUAUAUAUCCUGCAAUUGAACAAUGCCUCUACUUAAUGUGUUCAUUUUGUCCCUUUAGAGAAACAGAUAUGACUAAUCUGGCCUAGUCAUUAAAGACCAAAAAGUUAAUCCAAAAAUAACACAUCUUAUUAGGGAAUAUUUUUUUAUAAUAAAAUUUUUGCUCAUGGCCUUCUUUGUUAUACAGUAUUUAGGAAUAGUGAAUCUAAAAUAUUCAGCAAGUUAUUUUAUGGGUUAACAUGAUAUAUUUAUUAUGGUCAUAUUUGUUACAGCUAAAACUUCUUGAAGAGUAUAUUUUAAGUAUCCUAUAUUUUGUUGUUUUCUUAAAACCACCAAAGCGUAUGAUAUAUUUUCAGUUUUCAGUUUCACUUCUCAGGUUAGAUUAACAUUGCUUUAAAAGUAUUCCGCUUUCUGUAUUACAGGAAGCUGAAAAAUAAAGUAUCUUUUAAAUUACCUCAAUACUAAUUCAUUUUAUACCAUUGUAAGAAUGAUGAGGUGGUUGGAAUAUGUUAUAAUGUUUCAGUCUUCUGGGAUUCAAUUUAUAUGAAAUACUCUAAACAAUAAAAGUUAGGAAUGUUU